AUGCAACCCUUCUUGCCGCGAAGAAUCAGAGAGAUCCGGUGCUUCAUGCGGAGCAUUGUUGAUUACUGUGGAAGUGCCGGCCCAGAGUUGUUUGAGUUGGCACCUAUGUUGGUCAGUAAUUUGGGUGGGUCAGUGACAUUACUACAAGUUCAUGCUACAGUCAUUCGGGUUUUUGUAGAGUUGUCAAUGUUUGAGGAUGCUCUUCUCACUUACAUUGAGGCCAAGAAGGUUGGAGUUGAGCUGCAGUUGUGCAACUUCCUGCUGAAGUGUUUAGUGGAGAGGAAUCAAAUCAUGUCUGCGAGGAGUUUGUUUGAUGACAUGAAUACUUCUGGUCCGUCACCAAAUGUGUACUCUUAUUCAGUUUUGAUGAGUGCUUAUACACAUGGAGAUAGGCUAUGCUUGGAGGAAGCUUUUGAGCUUCUAUGUGAAAUGGAAAUGAAAGGCGUGAAACCGAAUGCGGUAACCUAUGGCACUUACCUCUAUGGGCUUUGCCGUACCAGACAUGUGUCAUCUGCAUGGAACUUUCUUCAAAUGCUUUGUCAGAGAGGCUACCCUCGCAACAGUUAUUGUUACAAUGCUGUGAUUCAUGGUUUCUGUCAUGAGGAACAGGUUCAGAAAGCCAUGGAGGUGUUUGAUGGGAUGAAGAAGGGUGGGUUUAUCCCAGAUGCCCAUAGCUAUAGUAUAUUAGUUGAUGGGUUAUGUAAGCAAGGGGAUCUAUUGGCAGGCUAUGACGUGCUUGUCGAAAUGGUAAGAAAUGGGAUUGCUCCUACUCUGGUCAGUUAUACUUCACUUUUGCAUGGUCUUUGCAGAGCUGGAAAGGUUGAAUUGGCAUUUGACCUGUUUAGGAGGCUCAAAGAACAAGGUGUCAAGCAUGACCACAUAGUUUACAGCAUUUUUCUUGAUGGUUGUUGCCAACAUUUUGAUCUAGAGGUUGUGUAUGAUCUUUGGAAGAACAUGGUUCAUCAUAAUUUUAUUCCAGAUGCUUACAACUAUACUAGUCUGAUAUAUGCAUUCUGUAGACAUAGUUACCUCAAAGAAGCAUUGGGAGUAUUCGAACUCAUGUUUGAGAAGGGAAUAAGCCCGAACAUUGUGACAUGCACCAUUCUAGUUGACAGUUUCAGCAAAGAAGGGAUGAUCGAUGAAGCCCUCCUAUUCCUGGACAAAGUACGCCAGCUUGGAAUUGUUCCCAACCUUUGUAUGUACAGAGUUAUCAUAAAUGGUCUGUGCAAGGUCAACAAAUGCGAUGAUGUGUGGGCCUUUUUCGCAGACAUGAUAAAAAGAGGCUGCGUUCCAGAUACUUACAUUUAA
rnacentral:rRNA from 1 species